rnacentral:tRNA from 1 species
GCUCAGGUGACGGAAUUGGCAUACGUGUCAGACUUAGAAUCUGAAUUUUGAGAGUUCGAAUCUCUCCCUGAGUA